rnacentral:tRNA from 1 species
UCAGGCCGUGGGCGCGGUCGGCGGCCGCCUGGUCGGGCCAGGCGACCGGUGCGGCUUCCGACGCCGUCGGUUCGGACAACCGACCUGCCUGGU